AUGGCCGACGCAGUCCGUGACGGGCAGACGGCCCUGGCGCUCCGGCUCGCCAAGCACCUCGCGGAGGACGGCUUCGCCGGCAAGAGCAAGAACAUGGCAUUCGCGCCUCUAUCAAUCCACGCGGCGCUUGCGCUCGUUACCGCGGGGGCGCGCGGUGCCACGGAGGCCCAGCUGCUCAGCUUCCACGGCGCGCCGUCGGCGGCUGAUCUGGCCGCCUUCGGGCGGCGCAUGGCGGAUACCGUCCUCGCCGACCAGAUGGAGGAUGAGAGCGCCCCCCGCGUGCUCUUCGGCGGCGGUGUCUGGGUCGACGCUUCUUGC
rnacentral:rRNA from 1 species